UUUGAUACACACGCUUGACAAAAAAUUAAUGGAUGAUGUUACUGUUCAAAUGUUGAUACUGCUGUUCUUAUGAACAUAAUGUAAAUUUACAGAUAUCUAUAACAUUUAGCCCUUUUAUGUUGGUCUUCUGUUCGUAAUAAAUUGCACAUGUAAUUUUUCCACUAUACAGGUACAAAAUUGUACAACGUACAUGUAUAUGAGCACAAAUUCUUUUUAAUCAAAUUGUACUUGUUUAGAUUAAUCUCUGUCGGACAUGUCUGUGUUCAUGUUGAAAACUAGAACUGUUCACCUUUGGUCAUCCUUAACUGCUGUGGAACGAUCUCUACGAGGCUGCUACAAGAUGUUGAAUUACUUUAUAGAUUACAUGAGGUUUUUUCUUUACACAUGUUUCCAUCUGUAGGUUCUGUUAAUUUUACAAUUUAACAGUCAUUACAUAUUUUCACUUUCUGCAUUCUAUUUAAAUGGAGGGUUUUCUUUCUGUCCAGAAAAAACAGGCAAGAAAAAGUGGGUGUCAAAAACUGGAUCCUCCUUUCACCUUUAAGCUGAGUCUUACUAUAUUGUUUUUAAUCAUUUUUAACAUGCUGUUUGACAUCACCAUGAUCACACUGUGGAACGUCUGGUUGGAAAGUUAUCUUUAUUCCAUUUCAAAAAGUUAUGUUGCCCUGAACACAUUGUU
rnacentral:lncRNA from 1 species